CCAAGCAACAUGUGCAGUUCCAGGAAUCGUUCGACAGAAAGCUAGCGGAGUCUAGAAGUUGUUAGCAUUACACGCAGGAAGGAUUGGAAAGUUAAUCAAGGCAGUCAGAAUUUUAAAUAUAAACUUAUAACACUAGGACAUCAUGAGAGUUAGUUUGAAUUAUUUCACCAUACCAACAGUUCUACUGGUUAUAUAUCUCCAUGGCGGUUCUUCAACUACCAGCGCAAUGGAUACUUCUACAAUGGAAAAUUCGAUGACAAGUUCGAUGGAAAGUUCGAUGGAAAGUUCGAUGACCACUACUACUAAUGGCGGUGGUGGAGGUAACACGAUGACUGCUAAUGUCGGUGGUGGAGGUAACACGAUGACUGCUAAUGGCGGUGGUGGAGGUAACACGAUGACUGCUAAUGGCGGUGGUGGAGGUAACACGAUGACUGCUAAUGGCGGUGGUGGCGCUAAUACGGCUACGGCUACUGCAACAGCAAGUUCAUCUGCAGCAUCAGAGAUGGCAACAGCAUCAACAAACACUACAGAUAAUCCGAACAAUAAUGGACAGUCUGUUUAUAUUCACACAUCAACAUGGAUUGUUGUAUUUAUUGUAAUGCCCUUCCUCUUUCUUAUACUGCCGCACUUUGCUUAAUAUACACAUCUGUAUCCUCAAAUUGAAUCAGAACAUAUUAUUUGGUCGUUAUCUUCAAUCGGAAUACAUUUUUAAUCAGACAAAUUUUAAAGCAGAGUCAUAUUUUUAUUCUACGAAGCAGAGCCGCCUUGAUGAAGGUCCAAGAUAUACUUUUAUUCCAUGCAGCGCGACCGCCUUGAUUCAGACACGGAUAUAUUUUUAUUGCAUGCAGCACGACCGCCUUGAUUCAGGUCCAGAUAUAUUUUCGAAUUUGAGUUUUGGAAUGUGUUUAUUAGCCAGAGUAAACGUUAGACGAUGUCUUUUGGAUUUGGACACAAUCGAUAGGCUUGGAUUUUUAAAUUCAAUCACAUAUAUUCUGAAACAUUUCAACAAAUCCAUUCUAAUUGAAUGAAAAUUUGUACUUUCUACCAGAUUCAAAGUCACCAUGUUCCUUUUAAAGUGACUUCAUGAUUUUCAAUUCAAAAUUUUACUGAAUUUUUAGAUUACUUUUGCAACGUGUAAGAUGGAUAAGACACCUCUUAGAUCGAAAGUUUAACGUUUUUGAUUCAUCGACGGAUUUAAUGUUUUAUUCCUAUACUGUGAUACAAUUAAUUGUUGUUUUUUGUUUUGGCAUUUUAAUGUUUUGCGACCUUAUAUGGCACUAUCAUUUUAACGUUUGAUGUUUUGCGACCUUAUAUGGCAGUAUCAGUUUAACGUCUAAUGAUCUUGACCAUAUAUGACACUAUUAUUUUAACACCUGAUAUUCUUGACCUUAUAUGGUAAUAUCAUUUUAACGUCUGAUGAUCACUUUAACGUCUGAUGAUCAUAUAUGGCAGUAUAAUUUUAACGUCUGCUGAUCUUGACCAUAAAAGGCACUAUUAUUUUAACGUCUGAUGUUCUUGACCUUAUAUGGUAAUAUCAUUUUAACGUCUGAUAUUCUUGACCUUAUAUGGCUAUCACUUUAACGUCUGAUGAUCAUAUAUGGCAGUAUCAUUUUAACGUCUGAUGAUCUUGACCAUAUAAUAUGACACUAUUAUUUUAACGUCUGAAGUUCUUGACCUUAUAUGGCGGUAUCAUUUUAAUGUCUGAUGAUCUUUACCUGAUAUGACGCUGUUGAUUGUCGACGUCACAGCUGAUUGCAGAGGAUCGAUGAUGACGUACAGAAUUGAUACGGCAGGUUCAUGGAACCAAUAUGGGCUUUAAAUCGUAAUUAUUGUUUUUGACUGUAUACUUCGGGAGCUUAUUUCUGCGGUUAUUAACUAUGUACAUAAUUUUGAAAAUUACUUGAAUGAUUUAUUCUUAGCCUUUUCCGACAUUAUAUCUCAACUGACAAACUAUCGCCAUCAAGACACGGCUUUUCAUGCUCCCAAUGUCGAGUAAAGAUGGCUAUGAAUUAUUAUACUUUUGUUUCAUUGUAACCCCUUGUUUCUACUUACCACAUCAGCCUACCCUUUAACUAGUAAACACAGAAACCUUAAAUACACUAAAAUAUUUUAAGGGUGCGGAGUUUUUAUUAGUAGUGGUUUAAAAUUCAAAUUUCAAAUGUUGGCUCUUAGCCACUGCGAAGUCUACGUUUUUAAUUUGUAAUAAUGUGGAUAGGAUCCUAAACGUUCUGUUUAUAAAAAAUGUGCUUUAUAUUAACCAAACCAGCCUUCUCGUUAAAGAUAUUUCGAAUUCCCACUGUCUAAAGGUAUUUUAUGUGCACGCCAAUGUGUACACGGGAUCUAGGAUUUUUGUCCCAUCCAAAGGACUAGACGCUGUCCUUACCAGACCCUCUGUCCUGUAUCACCACCAAGGGCAAAAUACCGGGGAGCUCGAAAGAGGCACGGGCCAUGAUAUUCAAGUUUAAAGACUGUAUGAUACAAGGUCAAUAAAAUUGCCAUUUUGACAAUAACAUAAAAUAUAAAAAAAAAUACAUUGAACGAGUUAUAAAUUUAAAUUGGCCUGUUUCUUAAAAAGCUUUAAUCAUGCGUUAUAUUAUUUGUAUACAGUUACGUCUGGUGUUCAACCGUGUGUUUGUAUGACGUGGUACGCAAUUUUAAUGGUGCAAUAUUUAAUGAAUUCAUCUCCAGUUACAAUGUUUUUCUUAACCCAACAUGUUCAAGGUCUAAUAUGACAGAAUAAAGGUCUGAAAGAUAAAUCAAAUUUACGAAUGUUUUCGGUUGUUCAAAACAAUAUUUUUGUCUGCCAAUUCUUAAAAUCAAUUAAGUUGUCGCCAUUUGAAGUUUGCAUUGGUUUGUAUUGAUGUCUCGGGAUAAAAUAGAAUAUAUCUUUGAGACAAGUGGCGUGACAAGAAUUAUGAUCACCAGCCUAACCUCGUGGGUUUCCCCGGGUCUAUUGUUUCUCCUCACUACUAAAUAUCCCUAUGUGCAAGCGAAUUAUUGAAAUAAAAUUAAACCAUAUGUUAGAACCGAAAUGACCUACUUUGUGUCGAGUGGACGUUAAACCCUCUCUCCCUAACUAAUUGUGCCUUUAUAAGUGUAUCUUUAAUCAGCAUAUAGACAGCAGAAAAGAGUGGUAAUAAUAUUGGAUGUUCGUAAUAACAUUAAAAUAGAAUUGUGAGAUAUAUGCGGGGAGGGGGGGGGGCGCGAAUGGAUUAAGUCGCCAUUGGGUGGCGUGACAAGACGUAGGAUCGCAUAAAACUUAACAGUUAAUAAUCCUCACGCCAUCUGAUUUGUUUAUACGAUUUUUUACAUCUGGAUUAUUUACCAUGUUCCUAGUCGAUGAAUUUUUAAUUUAAUGUAUAAUAUAUGAUAUAUAGCCAGAUGUUUGGGUACUAGAACCCCCACCACCUUCAUCUGUCGAACAAAAAAGAACAUGAUUCUGGGGGCUGUUUCACGAAAUUUUAACUAAGAUAAAAUCCAAAUUUUAGUAAUUUGAUUGGAUAAUAUUAGAUUGAUUUUAGUGCUUAGCCAAUCAAAAUGGAAGUAUCUACUAAAAUUUGGAUUUUAUCUUCUGGGACCCUGGAAAACUAGAAACUAAAAUUGAGUCGGAUUGUUUCGUUUUACAGUCCUAACUCUUUUUCAAUUAGAACCCUACCACGAACACUCCCUACUCUUAUCCUAAGCUGAUUAAAACACAGAUCCUAUUUCGUUUCGUUUUUAUAGUUCAAAAUUUCGUUUUACUUGUCUUUACUACACUAGGAUCUGGAAGAGUUGUUAUCAUUGACGUGUUCUGAAUAGUGUGAGGUAUUAGCCAAUGAAACGGUCUGUUACGGCGAACUUUAGGCGUGUUUUGCACGGAACUGAGGGUAAUCCACUAGUAACAUCAAUGCUGAUUGGUUAAUCAAAUGUCUGACGUCAUAGGGUCAAAAGCCGCUAGUAUGAACUCUGACGUGACCUAUCGCAAAAAAACGGUCAUAACUUCAUGUAGUGUAGGCCAUCGAAAGUAUAAAAAAAACGAAACGAAAUAUAGAUGUGUAUUUGAAUGAGAUUUCUCUUAUCCUAUCAGUAUUGUUAGUUGUAUAAAUGUAGUUAAAGGCAGGACAAUACAACCACAAGUAGUUGUUGUUGACCUAUUUUAAUAUGUUGUUUUGUUUAUUACAUUUUAAAAAUAAAAGACACAGUUACAUAGUAA